UACGAAGGGGGCUAGCGUUGUUCGGAAUUACUGGGCGUAAAGCGCGCGCAGGCGGUCUUCCAAGUCAGUGGUGAAAGCCCGGAGCUCAACUCCGGAACUGCCAUUGAAACUGUUGGACUUGAGUAUGAGAGAGGUGAGUGGAAUUCCCAGUGUAGAGGUGAAAUUCGUAGAUAUUGGGAAGAACACCGGUGGCGAAGGCGGCUCACUGGCUCGAUUACUGACGCUCAGGCGCGACAGCGUGGGGAUCAAACAGG
rnacentral:rRNA from 1 species